rnacentral:rRNA from 1 species
UACGGAGGGAGCUAGCGUUGUUCGGAAUUACUGGGCGUAAAGGGCGAGUAGGUGGCCAUCUAAGUCAGACGUGAAAUCCCCCGGCUUAACCUGGGAACUGCGUCUGAUACUGGACGGCUUGAGUAUGGGAGAGGAACGUAGAAUUCCAGGUGUAGCGGUGAAAUGCGUAGAUAUCUGGAGGAAUACCGGUGGCGAAGGCGGCAUCCUGGACCAACACUGACACUGAGGAGCGAAAGCCAGGGGAGCAAACGGG